AUUGAACGCUGGCGGCAGGCUUAACACAUGCAAGUCGAGCGGGGAAAAGUAGCUUGCUACUGGACCUAGCGGCGGACGGGUGAGUAAUGCUUAGGAAUCUGCCUAUUAGUGGGGGACAACAUCUCGAAAGGGAUGCUAAUACCGCAUACGUCCUACGGGAGAAAGCAGGGGACCUUCGGGCCUUGCGCUAAUAGAUGAGCCUAAGUCGGCUUAGCUAGUUGGUGGGGUAAAGGCCUACCAAGGCGACGAUCUGUAGCGGGUCUGAGAGGAUGAUCCGCCACACUGGGACUGAGACACGACCCAGACUCCUACGGGAGGCAGAAGUGGGGAAUAUUGGACAAUGGGGGGAACCCUGAUCCAGCCAUGCCGCGUGUGUGAAGAAGGCCUUUUGGUUGUAAAGCACUUUAAGCGAGGAGGAGGCUACCGAGAUUAAUACUCUUGGAUAGUGGACGUUACUCGCAGAAUAAGCACCGGCUAACUCUGUGCCAGCAGCCGCCGUAAUAC
rnacentral:rRNA from 1 species